rnacentral:rRNA from 1 species
AGUGAACGCUGGCGGUAGGCCUAACACAUGCAAGUCGAACGGCAGCACAGUAAGAUCUUGCUCUUACGGGUGGCGAGUGGCGGACGGGUGAGGAAUACAUCGGAAUCUUCUUUUUCGUGGGUGACAACGUAGGGAAACUUACGCUAAUACCGCAUAUGACCUACGGGUGAAAGCAGUGGAUCUUCGCACCUUGCGCGAUUGAAUGAGCCGAUGUCGGAUUAGCUAGUUGGCGGGGUAAAGGCCCACCAAGGCGACGAUGCGUAGCUGACCUGAGAGGAUGAUCGGCCACACUGGAACUGAGACACGGUCCAGACUCCUACGGGAGGCAGCAGUAGGGAAUAUUGGGCAAUGGGCGAAAGCCUGACCCAGCAAUGCCGCGUGGGUGAUGAAGGCCUUCGGGUUGUAAAGCCCUUUUAUUGGGGAAGAACAGAAGUGUAUUUAACCACCGCUGUUCUGACGGUACCCAAAGAAUAAGCACCGGCUAACUACGUG